rnacentral:rRNA from 1 species
GAUGAACGCUGGCGGCGUGCCUAAUACAUGCAAGUCGAGCGAACAGACGAGGAGCUUGCUCCUCUGACGUUAGCGGCGGACGGGUGAGUAACACGUGGAUAACCUACCUAUAAGACUGGGAUAACUUCGGGAAACCGGAGCUAAUACCGGAUAAUAUAUUGAACCGCAUGGUUCAAUAGUGAAAGACGGUUUUGCUGUCACUUAUAGAUGGAUCCGCGCCGCAUUAGCUAGUUGGUAAGGUAACGGCUUACCAAGGCAACGAUGCGUAGCCGACCUGAGAGGGUGAUAGGCCACACUGGAGCUGAGACACGGUCCAGACUCCUACGGGAGGCAGCAGUAGGGAAUCUUCCGCAAUGGGCGAAAGCUUGACGGAGCAACGCCGCGUGAGUGAUGAAGGUCUUCGGAUCGUAAAACUCUGUUAUUAGGGAAGAACAAAUGUGUAAGUAAAUAUGCACGUCUUGACGGUACCUAAUCAGAAAGCCACGGCUAACUACGUG